AUAUAUAUAUAUAUAUACAUUUUAAACGCGUCUUAUCUCUUAAUGUCUAAAAUGCGGGGGGAAAAAAAGGGGAGAAACACACCGAUAUGAAACGUGUAUCAAUAUAUAGGUUUAUUGUGAUUCGGAUAUUUGUUUUGUAAAAACAUGACGCAACAUUUGCUGUACAGAAUAAUGAGUUCACAGUUUGAUACAGAAUGAUCAGAAGACGCACACUCCCGUUUGAAUUGACAACCCCACAUACAAUACAAAGAUAGAGUUGAAUACAGAUUCACAACCUUAUAUAUAUAUAUAUAUAUAUAUAAAAAAAAAAUGUUUUUUUAUAUAAUUCAUUGAUAAAAAAAAAAAAUUAAAAAUGUUUUAAAAAAAAAUUAUUUAUCAUCAUGCUUUAUAAAAUGCCUUUAAUUGCCCAUUUCAGUCUAAUAAUCAUUUAUAAAAUAUAUUACAACAAUUCAUCAUCAUAUUACAUCUGCAUAGUUAAAAAACCAACGCAAACCAAACGUGUGUGUGUGUGUAUAUAUAAUCCUGCUAUUAAAUGGAAAAAGCCAGAUUACAUUAAUCCCAAAACAGUGAUAUUGGGUCAGUCUGAUGUUUCCCUCUCCUCGGGGUUAAAGGUUAAGGACUGUGAGAUGCUAAAACUGACCCCAGAUCUGUGACUGUUUCCCUCUCCUCAGGGUUAAAGGUUAAGGACUGUGGGAUGCUAAAACUGAUCCCAGAUCUGUGACUGUUUCCCUCUCCUCAGGGUUAAAGGUUAAGGACUGUGAGAUGCUAAAACUGACCCCAGAUCUGUGACUGUUUCCCUCUCCUCAGGGUUAAUGGUUAAGGACUGUGGGAUGGUAAAACUGAUCCCAGAUCUGUGACUGUUUCCCUCUCCUCAGGGUUAAUGGUUAAGGACUGACCCCAGAUCUGUGACUGUUUCUCUCUCCUCAGGGUUAAUGGUUAAGGACUGUGGGAUGGUAAAACUGACCACAGAACUGUGACUUGUAACUUGAACUGAGUUUAAUAAUGUUUCAAUCAAUACAUCAUCGCAUCAUUCAACCAACCAACAAAUGAUUGAUUGAAUAAUGAAUGGAUUUGAAUGAGAAUGUGCUGAUUGUCUGGUUCUGUGAAUGGUUUUAAAGUGCUCUCUAGUUUUCUUUACUCUGCAGGCUCACUAGUCUCCUCUGGGCUCCUCUAGCCUCCUCUAGCCCCCUCUGGCCCCUAGCCCCCUCUAGCCUCCUCUAGCCCCUAGCCCCCUCUGGGCUCCUCUAGCCCCUAGCCCCCCCUAGUCUCCUCUAGUCUCCCCUGGUCCCCUCUAGCCCCCUCUGGUCUCACUAUAUAGACUAUGUACAAUACAGGCCACCAGAAGGUAACUUUCAUAAGCAGUACGUUUAUAUGGCUGCGUUUACACAGGCAGCCCAAUUCUGAUCUUUCUUUUUUUCUCCCAACUAAAGCUGCGUUUACACAGGCAGCCCAAUUCUGAUCUUUCGCCCAAUUAUUGGCCAAAGAGCAGAUCUGAUUGGUCAAAAGACAAAUUAGAGGGGGGAUAAAGAUCAGAAUUGGGCUGCCUGUGUAAACGGAGGACAGACGAUCUACCAACAACACAUCCCUGUUUGACACCUGGGCUUUACCCUCUGAAUAUUAAAACCACGUCAUACAAUAACAAAACUAUCAGACAAUCACAUCAUACAAUACCAAAUAUAAAAUCACUGUUGUUGACACACACACACACACUCACUCACAGGAUAGUGGAACUAUGCCAGUCACUGCUGAUAGCUAGUGUUAGAUGGAGAGAGUCAGUGAGAUGUUGUGAUGUCAUCACACAGACAGGAUGUGAGGGGGCAUCAAACCUGCCAAGAUGGCCACCCAUUGGGGUUUGAGUGUUGUUGUUGAGUUUUGUAAAACAGGAAGUCACCAAACCUGCCAAGAUGGCCACCCAUUGGGGUUUGAGUCUUGUUGUUGAGUUUUGUAAAACAGGAAGUCACCAAACCUGCCAAGAUGGCCACCCAUUGGGGUUUGAGUCUUGUUGUUGUUGAGUUUUGUAAAACAGGAAGUCACCAAACCUGCCAAGAUGGCCACCCAUUGGGGUUUGAGUCUUGUUGUUGAGUUUUGUAAAACAGGAAGUCACCAAACCUGCCAAGAUGGCCACCCAUUGGGGUUUGAGUCUUGUUGUUGUUGAGUUUUGUAAAACAGGAAGUCACCAAACCUGCCAAGAUGGCCACCCAUUGGGGUUUGAGUCUUGUUGUUGAGUUUUGUAAAACAGG
ensembl:lncRNA